rnacentral:hammerhead_ribozyme from 1 species
AUCCGGAUGACGAGUCUCAAACAAGACGAAAUACGCAUCCUGGAU